GGAAGAAAAAUUUUUGUCGCUUAGAUUUCAUUAUUUACACAUAAAAUGCAUUAGGCUCGACACGAGAUCUGUUUUGUGGACAUCGAAUGGACUUAAAAUCAGAACAAAGUUGUUAAUAAAAAGAGACAGUACUUGCAUAUUGUAUUAAUACUUGCUAUUUGUGAAAAUUUCAAAGGUUACCAUCAAUUGACAUUUGCUUAUUGAUCUUGACUGAUUUGUGAUAAAACUACAUGUGCACCAAGUGUAAAGUACGAUCUCCGUACGAAUUAUCUCCGACAGAUCAGUUAAUUUCAGAUAAAAUCUUAGUGAUAUGAUUAGAUUUGAUAUGUUUUCAUUAUUGCUGGUAAGAUAGUGCGUGAAACAAUGGAAUUAUAAAUUAAAAUGAACAAUUCCGAUGAAUUUUGUAAUCGAAGUCUCACCUUUCUGAUUUUUUGAUGAAAGCUCGUGAUUUUUGGUGAUUUGGUUAAUUCAAAACAAAAUGACAUUUAAACUCAUUGUUGUUAGUGUUUAUCACAAUUUUAUUCAAUGUUUAAUCACAGACUAGUCCAUCAUAUAAAAGCAAAAGCUAGCGUCACUAAGAAUCAUUAGUUUAAUAAUUAAUUAUUGUUAACCCAACAACUACCAAUCAAAAUGAUUCGAGCUGCUAUAUUCAUUGCUUUAUUUGCAUUGGCCGCUUCUGCCAGCCUUUCCCUUGACUCCCAAUGGGAAUCAUUCAAGACUAAAUACGGCAAAUCUUAUGAUUCGGCUGAAGAAGAAACCUACAGACGAAAUGUUUUUGCCCAGAAACUGGAAAAGAUCAAGGCUCAAGAAUUUAUCAAAUAAUUCAAAUAAUUUAACUCAUUGAAUUUGUUGCAGACCGCCGAGGAAUUCAAAGCAAAACACCUUGGAUACAAGCCCGCUCGUCGAUCCGCUCCUCUUGUUCACAACGCAAACUACACCGUAAAAGCUCCAGCCUCAGUUGUUUGAACCAAGGGAAUCGUUAGUGAAAUCAAAGAUCAUCAGCAAUGUGGUUCAUGCUGGGCUUUCUCUGCCAUUGCUUUUAUCGAAUCAGCCAACGCUC